CCUACGGGAGGCAGCAGUGGGGAAUAUUGCACAAUGGGGGAAACCCUGAUGCAGCAACGCCGCGUGAAGGAAGACGGUUCUCGGAUUGUAAACUUCUGUUCUUAGUGAAGAAUAAUGACGGUAGCUAAGGAGCAAGCCACGGCUAACUACGUGCCAGCAGCCGCGGUAAUACGUAGGUGGCAAGCGUUGUCCGGAAUUACUGGGUGUAAAGGGGGCGCAGGCGGGAAGCCAAGUCAGCUGUGAAAACUACGGGCUUAAAUUGUAGACUGCAGUUGAAACGGGUUUUCUUGAGUGAAGUAGAGGUAGGCGGAAUGCGGGGUGUAGCGGUGAAAUGCGUAGAUAUUCGGAAGAACACCGGUGGCGAAGGCGGCCAACUGGGCUUUAACUGACGCUGAGGCUCGAAAGUGUGGGGAGCGAACAGGAUUAGAUAUCCCUGUAGUC
rnacentral:rRNA from 1 species